UCCCUCUCAGGAUCCCACCUGGAGAGUUUUCAGUACUCUACCAGUCCCGGCUAUGGGAGAGAGAGUCAAGCAGAGGCAUACCCAUUCCAUUCCUAGCUUGGGCCGUGGCUAGUGAGUGGAAGACAAUCUGCUACAAGU